rnacentral:misc_RNA from 1 species
UUAACAAUUUUAUUAUUUGCUCAGACACAAACUGAAACGAUUUUUACAGGUCUCCGGCAGGCACAAAGGCCCACCGAAGCAACAUGCGUCAUUCGCACAGGGUUGGAGGUUGGGCCAGAAGACCCUAACUCGGUAAUGAUCCUUCCGCAGGUUCACCUACGGAAA